AUUGAACGCUGGCGGCAUGCCUUACACAUGCAAGUCGAACGGCAGCACGGGUGCUUGCACCUGGUGGCGAGUGGCGAACGGGUGAGUAAUACAUCGGAACGUACCUUAUCGUGGGGGAUAACGCAGCGAAAGCUGUGCUAAUACCGCACACGCCCUGAGGGGGAAAGCGGGGGAUCGCAAGACCUCGCGCGAUUAGAGCGGCCGAUGCCUGAUUAGCUUGUUGGUGGGGUAAAAGCCGACCAAGGCGACGAUAAGUAGCUGGACUGAGAGGACGAUCAGCCACACUGGGACUGAGACACGGCCCAGACUCCUACGGGAGGCAGCAGUGGGGAAUUUUGGACAAUGGGGGCAACCCUGAUCCAGCAAUGCCGCGUGAGUGAAGAAGGCCUUCGGGUUGUAAAGCUCUUUUGUCAGGGAAGAAACACCGGCUCUAACACAGUCCGGGAAUGACGGUACCUGAAGAAUAAGCACCGGCUAACUACGUGCCAGCCGCCGCGGUAA
rnacentral:rRNA from 1 species